UUUUUAAACUUAUUUUUCUGUCUACUCAACUCGUGCGCAUGUUCAAUCUCGCUGGCUUUUGCAUUCCACUCUUCUUUCCCCUUCUCUCUCUGUCUCCACCGCCUUGAAGAGCAGAGGAGGGUACUGUAGCGAGAGAAACCAAGGACCAGAGAGACUAGAGAGAGAAGAGAAGAGAGAAGGAAAGAGGGCUGGCAACUUUCACUUUCGGAGGAAACUAAUUCCCUGAAAAUGCCACCACCGACACAACAGAGCACUAGCCUGAACGCUGACCACAGACCAUCACGCCCACCCCAGCAUUCAGACACCCACCACCACCACCAUCCGUACUACCCAACAUCGUCGUCUUCCAACUCAGCCUCCUUGAAAGGCUGCUGUUGCUGUCUCUUCCUCCUCUUCUCCUUCCUCGCUCUCCUUGUCCUCGCUAUCUUACUUAUCAUUAUUCUCGCCGUCAAGCCUAAAAAACCUCAGUUCGAUCUCCAACAAGUCGGCGUCCAGUACAUGGGCAUCUCGGCUUCAAAUCCCAGUUCGCUUGACCCGACCACCGGCACAACCACCAUCGCUACUGGCCCCACCACAGCUUCACUGUCUUUAACCAUCCACAUGCUAUUCACCGCCGUUAAUCCCAACAAGGUUGGGAUCAAGUACGGGGAGUCCAAAUUCACUGUCAUGUACCAUGGGAUUCCUUUGGGCAAAGCUUCGGUUCCUGGGUUUUUUCAGGAGGCCCAUAGCGAGCGUCAGGUGGAAGCCACCAUUUCUGUCGAUCGCUAUAGCUUGAUCCAGGCCAAUGCUGCUGAUUUGAUAAAGGAUGCUUCGUUGAAUGAUAGAGUGGAGCUUCGGGUUCUGGGUGAAGUUGGUGCUAAGAUCCGUGUCCUAGACUUCGACUCCCCUGGAGUACAGACAGGAACCAAGUUCCCUCCCUCUCAAAUGAAUUGUAAAUCUCAUGAGAAGGACUGGCUUGUGGGAGAGGAGAGCGCAGCAUGGUCCCACCCAGUAUUUUGAGCAAUUAUUGUUAGUAGUUCCCAGUACACUUCACGCACCAUGUGAGGGACCAUUGGAAACCGUGGAAGGUGGGAUUUCAUGGUCUACCAUUUCUUUGUCCAAUAACCAGAAGGUUUUGGGAUUCACAGUUUAUGGUAACAAUGCAAAAUAACACAUGAGCAUGGAUUGGUUUGUUUUGUGGUAAAAAAUGUCAAAACUUCAUUCCUCAUUUUUUAGCCUUAGGGAAGAAAAGGUCUUGUUCCGUUUCUUAGCAUGUGAAUUGGUGAUUUUUGGGGCCCUUGUGGCCCCUAGGAAAGAGAUGUGAUGGGAUCCAAAGUUUGGCUGGGCUGGAAGGUGCAAGUUAAAAUUUUUCUCUGAUCUUUUGUGGGGUUCUUGUAGUAGGCAAUUGGGCAUCAUCCAUUAAUUGCUUGGAUCUUACUAAAGCCUGCAUGUGCCUUCUACAUUAAUGUUUCAGAUAAUGUCUUUUUUGGUACACCAUGGAGAAAUUAAUGUUUCAGAUGUACAGAAGAUGGAGAUCUAUUAGCUCCUAAUAAAGUGUGUUUGGGGACAGUUUAGUUAUGAAAAUUGAGAAAUCUACCUUGCAGCCACUAGCUCAAGGUGAAUUGAUCUUUCAACUUGUUGCUUGCUUCAAAUUGCAGGGAUCUGGAAAUGGGCAUUUUGUAUAGCUACAGGACUAGGCUGAGAGGCACUGCUCAUGCCAAUCAUUUCUCAGUAAUAUGAUUGCCCACAGUAAUAAACAGUAACAAAAAAUAAUGUCUCUGUAGUGUGGCAUGUCAGAUUGGAAUUCAUAUUUUUCAACAUCAUUAUGGAGGCUAUAUUAGCGCGUGCCUACCACUCGCUUGAAAGGUUGCCUGUUGCCAACUUGCUUUUUUGACAAAAUAAACAAAGAGAGCAAAUAGGUAUCAGUGAACUGUGCAAUAAUGAUAAGUCCAAGGAAGCAGGCUCUUACUUACAAGCAGUGUGGAUUUGAUGGACUAAGCGUUUGACUAAGCCGUACCUGGGCAAAAACAAUGGGCACAUAUGAAAAAUAUGAAAGGAAGAAUUUCCCACACAACACCAACCCACCCCCUCUCUUGUUAAAUUUUUUCCCCUCUCCUUAGAUAAGAGAGAAUGUGUAGAAAGCAAAGAGAAGGUUAGAAAGUAGAAAGCAUAUUAAGACUGGAGACCUAUAUCCUCUCGUGGAUAAAUGAAAUUGGAUGGAAGGUAAGCAAAUAAGUGGUAAAAGAGAAAUGGGGAUAUUCUAAUUGGGAAAUCAAAAUGUUUUUCCCAAGAUUUUGCAGAUUUUUAUAUUGGUUUACUCCAUGAAAGCAAAAAAAAAAAAAAAGAAGCUGAUUGCUUGUAUAAAGUGUAAUUCUCAUGUAAUUCCACACCCAAUUAGCCUCUCUCUCUCUUUCUUUCUUUCUUUUUCUUUCUAUCCUCUGAAUUGUGGUGUGUUGGUACAUCAAGCACACGUAUCGUUUUAUGGAUUCAUCAAGUUGAGUGUAUAUGUUUAAAUAUA